GACGAACGCUGGCGGCGUGCUUAACACAUGCAAGUCGAACGGAAAGGCCCUGCUUUUGUGGGGUGCUCGAGUGGCGAACGGGUGAGUAACACGUGAGUAACCUGCCCUUGACUUUGGGAUAACUUCAGGAAACUGGGGCUAAUACCGGAUAGGAGCUCCUGCUGCAUGGUGGGGGUUGGAAAGUUUCGGCGUUUGGGGAUGGACUCGCGGCUUAUCAGCUGGUUGGUGGGGUAGUGGCUUACCAAGGCUUUGACGGGUAGCCGGCCUGAGAGGGUGACCGGCCACAUUGGGACUGAGAUACGGCCCAGACUCCUACGGGAGGCAGCAGUGGGGAAUAUUGCACAAUGGGCGGAAGCCUGAUGCAGCAACGCCGCGUGCGGGAUGACGGCCUUCGGGUUGUAAACCGCUUUCGCCUGUGACGAAGCGUGAGUGACGGUAAUGGGUAAAGAAGCACCGGCUAACUACGUG
rnacentral:rRNA from 1 species